UACGUAGGGUGCGAGCGUUGUCCGGAAUUAUUGGGCGUAAAGGGCUCGUAGGCGGUUUGUCGCGUCGGGAGUGAAAAUCCAGGGCUUAACUCUGGACUGGCUUCCGAUACGGGCAGACUAGAGGUAUGCAGGGGAGAACGGAAUUCCUGGUGUAGCGGUGAAAUGCGCAGAUAUCAGGAGGAACACCGGUGGCGAAGGCGGCUUCCUGGCCUGUUCUUGACGCUGAGGCGCGAAAGCUAGGGGAGCAAACGGG
rnacentral:rRNA from 1 species